AGUGCUCUUAAUUUAGCCUGGUAGAAUGUGGGUCUUUAAAACCCAAUUCCGUAGGUUCAAAUCCUACAGAGCGCGA
rnacentral:tRNA from 1 species